AGACAUGAACUCUCGGCUCAUGGUAAUUCCCAUGGAAUCACUUCCCAACCAGGACGUCAUAUGGCUGGCGGACUAUGUGCUGAACCCCAGGAAGCGAAACCAGCAGGGUAACACAGAGCCUUCAAGUGUCUGGCUAGGGACCAACGUACAUAAUUAAUUAUCGGCCUCUUUCUGUGAUAAGAAGCAACGGAGCUGGAGGCUACUGGCAGUUACUCUCCGAGUCCGACCUUGGCCUCAGUUGCUGCUGCACAUGCUCCUCGUGCCCUAUCAGUGACUUCUCACCACUUGUUUUGUGUUGCCGAUCAGGAGGAAAACUCAACAUGCAGGAAGACAAGCAAAGUCUGCAAAUGUGAAAGAAAGCUAUUAAAAAAAAAAAAAAAAAAAACAGGAAAGUCGAUAUUUGUUAUAAUAAUAAGCAACUUCAUGAUUUUGUUUGAAUGCUUCACUCACUGACAUCAGACCUGCUCUGAAAUUAUGUAAUGCAACACUGGCCACAGUUCAUAACUCAAUAAACUAACGUGUCAUC